UCAUCUAUAAGUGGUCCAUGGCAUCUCUUUGAUUUUCAGAUGUCUGAUUUUUCAUCUGAUAGAGUUUUGUUGUUGUUCCCAAGUAUCAUUAGCCUUUUCUUGUGUCGUAAACAUAUCAAAUGGCUGUUCCUAACAAGCUGAGGCAUGAAAGCGGGUGGAUGCAAGCACCCAGUCCAGCGGGUGCAGGCUGAGACAGGCUGGCCGAGUGGGAGCAGGUGAACAGACAAGCAGCUAGUUGUUCUCUGCCGCCCACGGCCAGCUGCGCCCGCCCCGCAUCCCCAGCCUCCCCAGGCAUCGCAAUCUCCCUGCAGAAAUGCCUCCACUACAGGCCUCUUGCUUCUCUGGCACACAAAGAAUGUCUGGUUUCAUAGCUAUUCAUGCACUGAUUAUAGGAUUAACUGCAACCUGCAGCAAAGGCAGGUUGUCUGGGAUGAAUUGAAUGGAGCAACUUGACAUCAAUAUUGUUACAGAGCAUGUUGACAAAGGCUCAGCCACAGCAUGAAGACCGGGAAAGAGCGGCGCAUGGCAGCACUUACCCACUCUGUCCUGGAGAAAUGCUGACCAUUGGACAGUUGAAGACUCUUGGAGACUUUUAUUUAGCUGGACAUGGAUUGUUCUGUCCUAGGAGCUGUUCCCUGCCCCCACCCCACGUGCUCCUCCUCGUCUGGACCACAAUCUCUCUUCCUUUCUCUGGUGACAGUGCAGAACACCUCUGAGCUACAGUGCAAUAGCACAGAUCUUGUUCCAUGGAGUUUAAACUCUACAAGGAGAUCAUCAGAGAACAGAGCAGCUGAAUGACUAAAUUCUAACUCGGUGGAGAUAUGAAAUUUGGCACUUUCCCCCUUCUGGUUAGCAGCCCCCAAAGCCAUUCUAACUGCAGUAACAUGAAUGACACCCUACUUCUCAAGCUUACGAAGCCUUCCUCGAAGGCCACCACCAGGCCAGCAUUGUGUGCAGAUCCGCAGGCCGCUGGGCGAUCGACCUGAUGAUGCCUUAGAGAGCACCAGACAUGAGGAUGCAUCUUCAUUUCAGGCAUCCCAGGCUCACUGCAAACAUGGAUUUGGUGAGCCAAAGCCCAGCUGGAGUGAGAGUGAGUGCUCCUGAGAAGUGCUGCUCUGAGCCAGGCAUUCCUGCAACAGUCAACCUGGCUUGGGGAAAAGGCUGGAAGGGCAUUUAGGCCUCAAGAAGUCAGCAUCAGGGACUUCCUUGGCAGUCCAGUGGUUAAGAAUCCACCUCCAGUGUAGGGGAUGUGAAUUCGAUCCCUGGUCAGGGAAUUAAGAUCCCUCAUGCAAUGGGGCAACUAAGCCAGCACACCACAACUACUGAGCAUGUGCACUCUGGAGCCCAUGUGCCACAAUGAAGAGCCUUCAUGCUGCACGGAAAAGUCCCACAUGCAGCAGGGAAGAGUCUGCAUGCUGCCACUAAGACCCACACAGCCAAAAAUAAAUGAAUUAAAAAUUCAAGAAGUCACUGUCAAUAAAUAAAUAACACUUGCUUGAUUUCUGUGACAUAAUACAUCUUCUUUGAAUAAAGGAUUCUCUUUACUAAAAUAAAACUAGCCAAAAAAAUAAGCAAAGGGAGACUUUCACAGUCAGUAUAAGUUGGCUGUCAGAUAAUGCUGAUUAAUAGUAAAAUAUUACAGCCUCCCUCUGAAGUUGGAGUAAGCGCUGCUGAAAAUCACAGCCAUGAUCACCUAAUACAACAGAUUUUGGAAACUAGUGGCUCAAUAUAGCUGGCGCUCAGGAGAUGUACCGGAGAGAAGCAGGGGCUGGAAAAUCAGGCAGGUGUAAGUCUUUUUAAGCCAUUCUGAUAUUUUGUUUUGUCCUACAAGCGAUUAGAAUCCAAUUAGAAGGUCAGAUCAGAUUUUUAUAUACCUACAAUGAGGGUCUGUGCUACUAGGUGAUCCGAAAGUGUUAUUUGCUCAGUUGUGUCCGGUGCUUUGUGACCCUAUGGACAGUAGCCUGACAGGCUCCUCUGUCCAUGGGGUUUCCCAGGCAAGAAUACUGGAGUUGGUAGGCAUUCCUUUCUCCAGGGGAUCUUCCUGACCCAGGGAUCGAACCCAGGUGUCCUGCAUUGCAGACAGAUUCUUUACCAUCUGAACCACCAGGGAAGCCCCCACUUAAUACUUAGGGAGGAAAAAAAUGUACCUAUCAUAUCUAUACCAACAUCAACUAAAAUCCUCUUGCUAGUAUCCUAAGAACAAAGAAGUUCCAACAACUUCUGCAAAUGCAUUUAAAAGGUGUCUUUUUGCUGUUGCUGCGUCGCUUCAGUCGUGUCCGACUCUGUAUGACCCCAUGGACUGCAGCCUACCAGACUUCUCCAUCCAUGGGAUUCUCCAGGCAAGAACACUGGAGUGGGUUGCCAU